AAUAGGGGAGCCGAAGGGAAACCGAGUCUUAACUGGGCGUUAAGUUGCAGGGUAUAGACCCGAAACCCGGUGAUCUAGCCAUGGGCAGGUUGAAGGUUGGGUAACACUAACUGGAGGACCGAACCGACUAAUGUUGAAAAAUUAGCGGAUGACUUGUGGCUGGGGGUGAAAGGCCAAUCAAACCGGGAGAUAGCUGGUUCUCCCCGAAAGCUAUUUAGGUAGCGCCUCGUGAAUUCAUCUCCGGGGGUAGAGCACUGUUUCGGCAAGGGGGUCAUCCCGACUUACCAACCCGAUGCAAACUGCGAAUACCGGAGAAUGUUAUCACGGGAGACACACGGCGGGUGCUAACGUCCGUCGUGAAGAGGGAAACAACCCAGACCGCCAGCUAAGGUCCCAAAGUCAUGGUUAAGUGGGAAACGAUGUGGGAAGGCCCAGACAGCCAGGAUGUUGGCUUAGAAGCAGCCAUCAUUUAAAGAAAGCGUAAUAGCUCACUGGUCGAGUCGGCCUGCGCGGAAGAUGUAACGGGGCUAAACCAUGCACCGAAGCUGCGGCAGCGACACUAUGUGUUGUUGGGUAGGGGAGCGUUCUGUAAGCCUGUGAAGGUGCACUGUGAGGUAUGCUGGAGGUAUCAGAAGUGCGAAUGCUGACAUAAGUAACGAUAAAGCGGGUGAAAAGCCCGCUCGCCGGAAGACCAAGGGUUCCUGUCCAACGUUAAUCGGGGCAGGGUGAGUCGACCCCUAAGGCGAGGCCGAAAGGCGUAGUCGAUGGGAAACAGGUUAAUAUUCCUGUACUUGGUGUUACUGCGAAGGGGGGACGGAGAAGGCUAUGUUGGCCGGGCGACGGUUGUCCCGGUUUAAGCGUGUAGGCUGAUUUUCCAGGUAAAUCCGGAAAAUCAAGGCUGAGGCGUGAUGACGAGGCACUACGGUGCUGAAGCAACAAAUGCCCUGCUUCCAGGAAAAGCCUCUAAGCAUCAGGUAACAUCAAAUCGUACCCCAAACCGACACAGGUGGUCAGGUAGAGAAUACCAAGGCGCUUGAGAGAACUCGGGUGAAGGAACUAGGCAAAAUGGUGCCGUAACUUCGGGAGAAGGCACGCUGAUACGUAGGUGAAGUCCCUUGCGGAUGGAGCUGAAAUCAGUCGAAGAUACCAGCUGGCUGCAACUGUUUAUUAAAAACACAGCACUGUGCAAACACGAAAGUGGACGUAUACGGUGUGACGCCUGCCCGGUGCCGGAAGGUUAAUUGAUGGGGUUAGCGGUAACGCGAAGCUCUUGAUCGAAGCCCCGGUAAACGGCGGCCGUAACUAUAACGGUCCUAAGGUAGCGAAAUUCCUUGUCGGGUAAGUUCCGACCUGCACGAAUGGCGUAAUGAUGGCCAGGCUGUCUCCACCCGAGACUCAGUGAAAUUGAACUCGCUGUGAAGAUGCAGUGUACCCGCGGCAAGACGGAAAGACCCCGUGAACCUUUACUAUAGCUUGACACUGAACAUUGAGCCUUGAUGUGUAGGAUAGGUGGGAGGCUUUGAAGUGUGGACGCCAGUCUGCAUGGAGCCGACCUUGAAAUACCACCCUUUAAUGUUUGAUGUUCUAACGUUGGCCCCUAAUCGGGGUUGCGGACAGUGUCUGGUGGGUAGUUUGACUGGGGCGGUCUCCUCCUAAAGAGUAACGGAGGAGCACGAAGGUUGGCUAAUCCUGGUCGGACAUCAGGAGGUUAGUGCAAUGGCAUAAGCCAGCUUGACUGCGAGCGUGACGGCGCGAGCAGGUGCGAAAGCAGGUCAUAGUGAUCCGGUGGUUCUGAAUGGAAGGGCCAUCGCUCAACGGAUAAAAGGUACUCCGGGGAUAACAGGCUGAUACCGCCCAAGAGUUCAUAUCGACGGCGGUGUUUGGCACCUCGAUGUCGGCUCAUCACAUCCUGGGGCUGAAGUAGGUCCCAAGGGUAUGGCUGUUCGCCAUUUAAAGUGGUACGCGAGCUGGGUUUAGAACGUCGUGAGACAGUUCGGUCCCUAUCUGCCGUGGGCGCUGGAGAACUGAGGGGGGCUGCUCCUAGUACGAGAGGACCGGAGUGGACGCAUCACUGGUGUUCGGGUUGUCAUGCCAAUGGCACUGCCCGGUAGCUAAAUGCGGAAGAGAUAAGUGCUGAAAGCAUCUAAGCACGAAACUUGCCCCGAGAUGAGUUCUCCCUGACUCCUUGAGAGUCCUGAAGGAACGUUGAAGACGACGACGUUGAUAGGCCGGGUGUGUAAGCGCAGCGAUGCGUUGAGCUAACCGGUACUAAUGAACCGUGAGGCUUAACCUU
rnacentral:rRNA from 2 species